GGCCAUCCAACCGUAACGAUCAGCUUCUAGGAGCUCAUCCUGGGAUCAACCGUUCACACUCUUCUGCGGGAUUUAGACCAGUAGACUUUCAUCAACAGCAGCAGGGGCCACCCUUUGAGGAUCACUUUAGUCAUCUUGAGCGGAACCUUUCAUAUCAGCAACAACUUAAUCAGGAAUUAUUCGAGCAAGGUCUACCCUUUGAGCGAUCUACAUCGUUACCCAGAAAUACAUCGGGGCUGAAUCUGGAUGCUGUAAAAGGUCUUAACUUCUCUGAGUUGCGGGAUGCCCAGAUGCAAUCCUCUGGUAGAUUAGGAAAUUCUACUCCGGGUUUCAGUCAUCAGAAUCCCCAUAUACAAUUAGGUGAACGUCAUUUUUCAGAAAUGGAACCAAGGAAAGAACGCUGGCAUGGAGCAGAUACACAGCUAGCUGGUGGCUGGGCUGAAACUCAGUUUCAUAGACUAAAUACUGAAGCUGACCAUCAUAAAAUGAGGUCAGAAAUGAGGAGAGCUGGCGAAGAUUCCAACUCAUGGAUGGUAGAUGGACAUACGGAUGAAAAGUCAAAACAGCUUUUUAUGGAGUUGCUUCACCAGAGGCCUGGCCAUCAACCUCUCGAAUCACCAAGCAUGAAUCGUGGGGAACCCUAUGACAGGAUGGCUGCUUCAGGCUUCGGCUUUGCAGACCAUGGUGGUAGGCAAAACGCUUCAUCUUCUUUUGGGUCGCACGCAUCUUCUGAUGAACAUGUAAACGGAUUACCAGGAGAUGGGAACUAUAUGGGAUCGUUGCAGCGUGAUAAUUCAUUACUUUCUGGAAGUACCGAUGGUGGAAGAAAAAAUGAAACUAAAGACUUCAGUAAUAUGCUUGGUAUGAGCAAAGACGUGAAUGACAUCAGAACGUGGAACAAUGCACCACCGAAAAAGGAAGGAGCGGGGUUGAUGUCAUUUGAAGCACAAGACAGAAUGGGAAAGCAAGCAGUAAUGGAUUCCUUGGUUCAAGGGGAGGUUCCUGUUGCUACGCUUGGCAGACAGUCUUCUUCCAGUAUCUCUGGUAUGUAUCUUCCAGAGUUUAGAUUUCCUUUUCCCUGAAUAUAUCAUGUUUUUUUUUGUUAUGGGGGCUUAUGUUGAUAUUUUCUUUCUGCAGAGUCAUACAGUGACAACUUGGUUGGAGAAGUUAGAAAGGAUAGGUAAUUUUGUACUCUUAACGUUUAGCAACCGUAGAUUAGGUUAGUAGUAAAUCGCCAUGUGAGCUCUUAUUUGAUGAAAUGUUUUUAUUGUUAUAGGUUGGUAGUUCCAUCACACGGGCAGGUAUCAGUUUUGUUAAAAAGGCCUCCCUCAUCGCAUGAGGGAUUGCUCGAGCAGAUGUCCGAUGCAACUAACAGAACAGCAGUGGGAAAUAAAGGGUCAAAGGCGUCGUUCAGUGAGAUGUUGAAGAAUAGUAGUAGCAAUAGCAGCAUGAAGAAAGUGGCAGCAGAGCCAUCUUCUGAUCCAAACGAAGGAAACAAAGGCGGUGGUGGGAAGAAGAAAGGCAAGAAAGGGAGGCAGCUUGAUCCAGCUCUUCUCGGUUUCAAAGUCACUAGCAAUCGCAUUCUUAUGGGUGAAAUUCACCGCGCUGAUGACUUUUAGUCAAUUCUGAUACCCUGAGAUCCAUUCAAGCGUUUCUUCUUCUCCGGCGUAAUCAUGGUAUAAUUCGAUCUUUGCUUAUAAGUAAACCCUUCUUAUGUUUUUGUUUCUCUUUGAUUUUUGAUGGUCAAUGAUUUUCUCUUUGUUUGAAAUAUGAAUCACGUGAACAUUGUUUCAAUUAGCUAGAUGAGUCCUAAUAAUAUCUUUACAAAAUCACAUAUUUUUCGAAAUUUGAAUUGGAUUAACUUCCUUAUAUCUGCAUUAUUGUGGAUUGUUUACUUGAUUUGUUUUUGUUGAGUGUGAAUGAAUACUUGAUCCGGGAUGAACCAUUACUAACUACGAUCAUGGUGGAUCCGGGAUAUGAUAUUGAUUGAUUCUGUGUUGAUUUUGUUAUUGCAGAAAACUUACAAAGCUGACUCGCAGACAGGAAAGUGGAGAAGUUUGACAACGUUUAUAAAGAGAGGUUUUGUUCCUGAGACCACUACGUGUACGUUUAUGUGUAUCUCUUUAAGAUAACCUGUAAGGAACCAUGGUCUGGAAUAUGAAUCAUUCCUGUAUACAAUGUGUAUGUUACAGCUCUCUUCCAGAUCAUGAGGACUGCAGCUAGCGGAGAUACGGCUUAAACCGAAUCACAUUCAAGCUAGAAGAAUCAAGUUUAGAAAUGAAUCAUUCUUCUGUUUUUCUCUUCUUUUACCGUAGAAUGCAACUUUAUGUUUACUUGUGCAUGCUAAUGUAAUAAAUAGUAUUUUCUACAAGUUAUCAUAUCUUCAAGUUAGUUCACUUGGUACGACCCACACGCAGUUGAAACUCUCUGUAUACAAGGAGCAAGUGUAGUUUCCACUAGAUCUCGUCAAGUCUUAUGAGGUUGAUUACUCACAGGUUUAAGGAGUUCUGACCAGGUACAGAGAGAUUAAAGGGAAGCAUGUGCGCACGUGGCAUGAUACUCGGGAUCGUUAGCCGAGAAAUCAGAUACGAUUUUUGUUCGAUUUUUUAGUAUAUCCUUUUUCCGAAUUUUAAAAUAAUAAAAACUUUAAAUAACUAUUGCUCAACAACCUUAGAAAAUUGAGCUUGUUCUUAUAUAAAAAUCUCCACUUUGCCAUUAUUACAUUUUUUCGGGCUUUACACUGUACGAAGCCCAAGUCAUUCUCUUCACACAUUAACUAAAGCCCAAUAGCAUUUAAUUGGCCCAAUAAGAAUAACAAAUUUCGAUCCACUUUUCUAGGUUUGCGAAGGUAAAGUUGAAACGAGGACGACCAUAAAAACCAACUCGAAAGGCAAUUAAAAACAAAAUAAUAGAAAUUUUCUUCAAGAUCGCGAUCUUCAAUCCCGAAUCCCUAAUCCAUUCAAGCUUCUCCUCUCUUCUCCGGCGUAAUCAUGGUAUACUUCCUCUAAAGUCAACCCUUCCCUUUUUGUUAAAUCUGUGCAGCUUCUUCUUCUUCUCUCUGUAACUCCGAUCUCCCAGAUCUGAUUCACGAGCUUAACUAUCAAUGUUUGAAUCACGCGAAGUUUGUUUUCAAUUAGCUAAAUUGAGAUCCUAAUUUCGAAUCGGAUUAGCUGAAUUUAUUCCACUCUUUGUUUUGUGGUUGUUAGGACGUUCGAUCUCCUGCUCCCGUUCCCGUUGGAUCUCGGCGGCGUGAUAACAAGUGGUCAUCUCGUUGGGGUCCUGACGAUAAAGAGAAAGAGAAAGAAACCAAGGUUGACUACAACAACAAGGAGGAGGUUCAAAGUGAGACUCAAUCUGUGAUUGGGAGCCUCCGUGACUCUGAGACUCGUGAUAAAUGGAGGCCACGUCAUCGGAUGGAGCAGGUCCAGAGUGGUGGACCAGCUUCUUACCGUGCUGCGCCUGGGUUUGGACUUGAUAAAGGACGAAGUGAGGGACGAAGUGAGGGUCCAAACAUAGGGUUCACCGUUGGUCGGGGUAGGGCGAGGGGUACUUGGUCUGCUUUCUUUGGCGCUGGAGGGUUCUUGAGAAACGAAAGCGUUCCUGGUAAACCUGCGCCUACGUGUCGGUAUGUGAGGGGGAAGUUGCUUGACUUGUAUAGAAACCAGAAGCCUGAUAGGAUGCCUAUUGAUAUGGAGGAGGUUGAUUCUGUAACUCAAGUGGCUUUGAUUGAACCUCUUGCUUUUAUUGCCCCUGGUGUUGAAGAAGAGGUAUGAUCCUUACUUGAGGACUUGCUUUUUUCCUUUCUCAUGAGUGUGUCAUUGUUUUGUAACUAAUUUUCAUGUGUUUGUGGUCUGGGUGUUAUAUAUUUAUUUCAGGAAAGCCUUAAGGGUAUAUGGAAGGGAAGGAUCACUAGUAGCGAAGCUCACACUUCACCUGGGGAAGAAUCUUUAGCUGAGGAGAGUAUGGGUAUGUGUAAUCUUGUUUUUUCGUUGCUUUGCUUCUAUCUUUCCAACUAGCUUGGAUAAUGAAUGCUUCUGUGACUUGAUUCAGGUGAGACGAAAGUGGAUGGUGCUUUGCUAGGGGUUAUGAGUGGUGACAGUGUUUCCAUGCAUAAUAGUAAUUCAGGUAUGUGAAUAAUAGGUGCUAUACGGGUAUUCAAAUUCAUGAGUAUUAAAGCUUAAGUCCAUUGUUAUGAGUUUGAUGGUAUUUUAGUGUUCUAUUAUAUAUUCUGACCCAUAUCCAAACAACUGUUGCUGUAGGAGUACUUGGUAGUCAUAAUGGAGGCUUGUGGGGUGCUUCUGAAAGUGAUCAAGUUUCUCGUGGAAGUCCUGAAGCAGUUAGAUCUGCUUUUGAUAAAUCUUCUGUGUUGGAUGCGGAUGAACCCAUUGUUACGGGAAAGCUGCAGCAACCUGAUAUUGAAGUGAAUCACUCCGAAGGGACUCUGCCACCUGAGGAGUUUAUGUUCUCGUACAUUGAUCCUCAAGGAGUAAUACAGGGACCGUUCAUUGGAUCUGACAUUAUUUCAUGGUUUGAGCAAGGGUUUUUUGGGACUGAUCUACAGGUCCGCUUGGCAACUGCUCCAGAAGGGACUCCUUUUCAAGAUCUAGGCAGUGUCAUGUCGUAUUUAAAGACGGAAAGUAUGCAAGCCCACAUCAAUGAUCAAAUCAUCGAGCUAGAACAGACCAGUAGAAAAGCAAAUUCGGAGAUUGGUUUAUCAUUUGCACCCGUACAAGAAUCUAAUGGUUCAGCCUUAGGUCACGAUAAUGUUCAAAUACAGUCUAAAUCAGAAGCUUAUGUGAAACCACCACAUGUUGAUGACCGAAGUUUCUUGGACUUCUCUGCUCAAGAUGAAGGUUUGUUAUUCUACUGACAUUUUCUCACUUGUGUGCAUUUGUGUGGGUUUUUGUAUACUAAACAUACUUUUUGUAUUUUUUUCUUAAUCAGAAAUCGUAUUCCCAGGAAGAGCUAGAGUUUCUGGUUAUGGAUCGGCAAAAUCCUCUACAAGUAUGCAUGAUGCUUUAAUGGGAGUUUCUGGCCACCCUGCUAUUCCUGUUGAAUCAGCGAAGGUUGCUACUCAAAAUCAGAAUGAGAACAAGCUGCAUCCAUUUGGUGUGUUGUGGUCUGAGCUAGAGAGCAGUAGUACACCAGUUGAUCUUUUGCCUAACAGAUCGUAUGAUGACCAGAAGUAUCUUGAUCAAGCUCAGGAUUUGGAUCAUUUAACUCUCCAAUUGCAGCAGCAGCAGCAACAAAAGAUUCAGUUGCAACAGCAGCAGCAACAGAAGAUUCAGUUGCAACAGCAGCAGAAGAUUCAGCUACAACAACGUCAACUAGAACAAGAGUACCAAUUACAACAGAAGCUCUUACAGGAGCAACAACAGUCCCAUGCUCGGAAUUUACAUUUUCAACAGAUUCUUCAAGGACAGACUCCUGAUUCGAGACUUGGGCAGUCACAUGACUUCCAUCGACUCAACAAUGUUGAUCAGAUGUUAUUAGAGCAGCAACUAAUGGAUGAAUUGCAGAGUUCUGGCCAUAGAUCACAAAAUUUUACACCAUACAUGGAGCAGCUUGCCGCUGGAAAUUUUGGGCAGUUACAACAUGAAGGUCAUCAAAAAGAGCUACUUGAACAGCUACUUUCCGAACAAAUGCAAUCUCAAUACAGACAGAUGCAUUCUCAACAUGGCCACAUGCAAUCUGAACCAAUACGGUCUUUGGAGUACCAGCUACUACAACAAGAGCAGCUCAUGCGAUUGGCAAAUGGAGGGAGGCAAAAUACACUAUUGGAGGAACUGAGACAUAUUGACCCUCAACAUGGACAAAUGCAGUCUGAACCAAUACGGUCUCUGGAGUACCAAAUAAUGCAGCAAGAGCAGCUCAUGCAAUUGGCAGAUAGAGCGAGGCACAAUACGCUAUUGGAGGAACAUAGACAUAUUGAUCCUCUAUGGCCAUCCAACCGUAAUGAUCAGCUUCUAGGAGCUCAUCCUGGGAUCCACCGUUCACACUCUUCUGCGGGAUUUAGACCAGUAGACUUUCAUCAACAGCAGCAGAGGCCACCCUUUGAGGAUCACUUUAGUCAUCUUGAGCGGAACCUUUCAUAUCAGCAACAACUUAAUCAGGAAUUAUUCGAGCAAGGUCUACCCUUUGAGCGAUCUACAUCGGGGCUGAAUCUGGAUGCAGUAAAAGGUCUUAACCUCUCUGAGUUGCGGGAUGCCCAGAUGCAAUCUUCUGGUAGAUU
rnacentral:lncRNA from 1 species